rnacentral:rRNA from 1 species
UCGCCUACGGGGGGCAGCAGUGGGGAAUAUUGCACAAUGGGGGAAACCCUGAUGCAGCAACGCCGCGUGAGUGAAGAAGUAUUUCGGUAUGGAAAGCUCUAUCAGCAGGGAAGAAGAAAGACGGUACCUGACUAAGAAGCCCCGGCUAACUACGUGCAAGCAGCCGCGGUAAUACGUAGGGGGCAAGCGUUAUCCGGAUUUACUGGGCGUAAAGGGAGCGUAGAGGGCAUAGCAAGUCUGAAGUGAAAGACCGUGGCUCAACCGCGGAACUGCUUUGGAAACUGUUAAGCUGGAGUACUGGAGAG